rnacentral:lncRNA from 1 species
UCUGGAUGCUGUAAUGCAAACUGCUGAGCCAUUUGCACCCCUUCUGUAUGCACUGCUUCAGGGAGGACAGGAGGCAAACUUCCGCUUUGCCAGGGCUAAGGAUGGAUUCUUCUCCCUCCCCAGAUCUGGGGCAGUUUGGAUCCCUUUGCAGGAUUCCCACUUUCCCCCUCUCUUAACCUCUGCAAACAAUCAGGAGCUGACACCUUGCAGCGAGCAACAUCUUGCAAAAGAGGAAUUUAAACUCUGCUGAAUGGCUCUCACGGCAACGAGCUCCUGUGAUCACGUCCCUCUGCCGACACGGCAGCUCAGAAGCUGCCGGAGCUGUCACCUGCCUACAUGGGGCUGCACGCUUGCUUUGGGUCACUGUCACACACAACAAGCAAGGUUAGUACAGGUGACAGCCUUGUCACCCCCUAAUAAAUCAUGCACCAGUGUGGUAUUGAUCGUGCUUUAAAUUCACUGAAGGCAAUAGAUGAGCCAUUUCGCUAUUUAUUUUUUUAUUUUUUUCCCAAUAGAGAAAAUGGUCUUGUUUUGGGUCUACGGACAGUGGGUGGCCAUGUGCGACCUGCACCGGGCUGGCAGAGCCCUGCUUUGGCCAUUGGCACCUCUGAUGGGAUUUGCCACCACAGAAGAGCAGCCUCCAACUCCUUUCCAAACAUCUCCUUUCUACUUCACCUGGUUUGGCUGGAUCAUAACCCCCAGAGGCAUGCAGCAGCUGCCCCGUUUCUUUCCCUGACUUCAUCAAACUCUAACGGAAGUUGGAUGGCUUCAGAAUAAUUUCACCA